AGAUCGUAAGCUUGAUCCUCAGCAGUUUGGUGGUGGGAGAUUGCUGGCUUGCAUUGCUUCUCGACUUGAUCAAUGUGGCAGGGAUGACGGCUAUAUUUUGGAAGGUAAGGAGCUUGAAUUUUAUAUGAA